rnacentral:rRNA from 1 species
AGUGAACGCUGGCGGCGUGCUUAACACAUGCAAGUCGAACGAGAACGGAUUAUAGCUUGCUAUAAUUGUCAGCUAAGUGACGCACGGGUGAGUAAUGUAUAGAUAACCUGCCCUUAAGAAAGGAAUAACAGUUGGAAACGACUGCUAAUGCCCUAUAUGCCUUUAAUACAUAAGUAUGCAAGGGAAACGCUUUAGUGCUUAAGGAUGGGUCUGUAUGGUAUCAGCUUGUUGGUGAGGUAAUGGCUCACCAGGGCUAUGACGCCUAACUGGUUUGAGAGGAUGAUCAGUCACACUGGAACUGAGACACGGUCCAGACUCCUACGGGAGGCAGCAGUGGGGAAUAUUGCACAAUGGACGAAAGUCUGAUGCAGCAACGCCGCGUGGAGGAUGACACAUUUCGGUGCGUAAACUCCUUUUAUAUAGGAAGAUAAUGACGGUACUAUAUGAAUAAGCACCGGCUAACUCCGUGCCAGCAGCCGCCGUAA